CCUACGGGAGGCAGCAGUGGGGAAUCUUGGACAAUGGGCGCAAGCCUGAUCCAGCCAUGCCGCGUGAGUGAAGAAGGUCUUCGGAUUGUAAAGCUCUUUUGCCAGGGACGAUAAUGACGGUACCUGGAGAAUAAGCCCCGGCAAACUUCGUGCCAGCAGCCGCGGUAAUACGAAGGGGGCUAGCGUUGUUCGGAAUUACUGGGCGUAAAGCGCACGUAGCGGGCGAUUAAGUCAGGGUGAAAUCCCGGAGCUCAACUCCGGAACUGCCUUUGAUACUGGUCGUCUAGAGAUCGGAAGAGGUGAGUGGAAUUCCCAGUGUAGAGGUGAAAUUCGUAGAUAUUGGGAAGAACACCAGUGGNGAG
rnacentral:rRNA from 1 species